rnacentral:rRNA from 1 species
GGAUUAGAUACCCUGGUAGUCCACGCCGUAAACGUUGGGCGCUAGGUGUGGGGAACCUUCCACGUUCUCCGUGCCGUAGCUAACGCAUUAAGCGCCCCGCCUGGGGAGUACGGCCGCAAGGCUAAAACUCAAAGGAAUUGACGGGGGCCCGCACAAGCGGCGGAGCAUGCGGCUUAAUUCGAUGCAACGCGAAGAACCUUACCUGGGCUUGACAUAUAGGGAAAUCUCAUAGAGAUAUGAGGUCCGCAAGGGUCCUAUACAGGUGGUGCAUGGCUGUCGUCAGCUCGUGCC